GGCGACUUCAUCGAGCACUACGCGCAGCUGGGGCCCAGCCAGCCCCCCGAGCUGGCGCAGGCCGCGGACGAGCCCCGGCGCGCCCUCAAGAGUGAGUUCCUGGUCCGCGAGAACCGCAAGUACUACAUGGAUCUGAAGGAGAAUCAGCGCGGGCGGUUCCUGCGCAUCCGGCAGACGGUGAACCGCGGGCCCGGCCUGGGCUCCACGCAGGCCAGACCAUCGCGCUCCCGGCCCAGGGCCUCAUCGAGUUCCGCGACGCCCUGGCCAAGCUCAUCGACGACUACGGCGUUGGAGGAGGAGCCCGCCGAGCUGCCCGAGGGCACCUCCUUGACGGUGGACAACAAGCGCUUCUUCUUCGACGUGGGCUCCAAUAAGUACGGCGUCUUCAUGAGGGUCAGCGAGGUCAAGCCCACCUACCGCAACUCCAUCACCGUCCCGUACAAGGUGUGGGCCAAGUUCGGGCACACCUUCUGCAAGUACUCGGACGAGAUGAAGAAGAUCCAGGAGAAGCAGAGGGACAAGCGCGCCGCCGCCGCUGCCGCCGCCGCCUCCGCCUCGUCGUCGUCCGAGCCGCAGGCCGAGGCGGAAACCAGCAGCAGCCCCUCUUCCGCCGCCGCCGCCACAGGCCCGCCCGGAGCCCUGCUGCAGGCCGAGGAGCCUGAGGAGGAUUGAUCUCCCUGCCCUCCCAAGCCCUCCGAGCCCUCCUCUUCCUUGCUCCCUUCCUCUCCCUCCAAGCCCUCGCCCUCUUCUCCACUUGGCUGCCUCCUCCCUGCCCUGCUGCACAGAGACACUCGUAAUAAUAAUAAUGAUAACAACAACACCACAGAGAGAGACUUUAUACUGUAAGCGAGAGAGAGAGAGAACCCACACCACACACCGGAAACCGUACCUGCAGUUCCAAUAUUAUUAUAAUACCUGUUGUUCUGACUCCAAAAGGAGCACCGCACCAACCCACCACCAACCAACCCAAAAUUCUGACAGACAACCAAGCAAAGCGAGCAAAGCAAGCAACUUCUUUCUCUCCACCCCAUCGCUGGAUUGUUCCUUCCACUCUUGCCCAUCGUAUAAAACAACCUUUACCAGUAAAUAUCGGUUUAUUCCUGAAACCAGAAGCCCUAAACAUAUCUUUGAUUAUAAGAUCUUUCAGUACCAUCUAUCAGUGUCAUCUUUUGACCUUUUAUUUGCCAAAUCAGGUAACCUCCACAACCAGUGGAGAUGUGAAAUCAUGCACUACCACUCCUGUGUACUUCAUUUCAUUCCUAAAUGGUGUGCAUGUGUGCCUAGAGUUCUAUUUAUGUGGGGAAUCCUCACAUAUUGUCAGUUUAGGAUUCUGUGCACAUCUGCAUCAUUUACAGAUUAUAUUCAAUAG
rnacentral:lncRNA from 1 species